CAAACGACUCUCGGCAACGGAUAUCUCGGCUCACGCAUCGAUGAAGAACGUAGCAAAAUGCGAUACUUGGUGUGAAUUGCAGAAUCCCGUGAACCAUCGAGUUUUUGAACGCAAGUUGCGCCCGAAGCCUUUUGGCAGAGGGCACGUCUGCCUGGGCGUCACAC
rnacentral:rRNA from 1 species